rnacentral:sRNA from 2 species
CUUGUACACACCGCCCGUCACACCAUGGAAGUUUGCAAUGCCCAAAGUCGGUGGCCUAACCAUUUGGAGGGAACCGCCUAAGGCAGGGCAGAUGACUGGGGUGAAGUCGUAACAAGGUAGCCGUAGGAGAACCUGCGGCUGGAUCACCUCCUUUCUAAGGAAUAAAACGGAAACCUACACAUAGUUGAAACUUUGUUUAGUUUUGAGAGGUUUACUUCUCAAAACAUCAGACGCUUAUUUGGGCCUAUAGCUCAGCUGGUUUAGAGCGCACGCCUGAUAAGCGUGAGGUCGAUGGUUCAAGUCCAUUUAGGCCCAUUAUGGGGAAUUAGCUCAGCUGGGAGAGCACCUGCUUUGCAAGCAGGAGGUCAUCGGUUCGAUUCCGUUAUUCUCCAUUGUCAACCGUGAGGUUGACAGAGCUUGUACUUUGAAAACUAAAUAAUAUCAUUUUUCUUUAUUUAACAAAACAAACCGAGAACACCGCGUUAUUUUGAGUUGUUUAAUGAAAAUAAUCGCUAACUCAAUUAAUCCGAUGAUCACUUAGUGAUCAUCAAGGUUAAGUUAUGAAGGGCGCAUGGUGAAUGCCUUGGUACUAGGAGCCGAUGAAGGACGGGACUAACACCGAUAUGCUUCGGGGAGCGGUAAGUACGCUUUGAUCCGGAGAUUUCCGAAUGGGGAAACCCAACCAACUUAGUCGUUGGUUGCUUGACUAGUGAAUCUAUAGCCAGCAAGCGGUAGACGCAGUGAACUGAAACAUCUAAGUACCUGCAGGAAGAGAAAGAAAAUUCGAUUCCCUGAGUAGCGGCGAGCGAAAGGGGAAGAGCCCAAACCAACGAGCUUGCUCGUCGGGGUUGUAGGACUGAACAUUUGAGUUACCAAAGUGCGACGUAGUCGCAACAGUUGGGAAGCUGUGCCAAAGAGGGUGAAAGCCCCGUAGACGAAACGUCACACUCUCAGUUCAGGAUCCUGAGUACGGCGGGACACGUGAAACCCCGUCGGAAGCUGCGAGGACCAUCUCGCAAGGCUAAAUACUCCCUAGUGACCGAUAGUGAACCAGUACGUGAGGGAAAGG